rnacentral:lncRNA from 1 species
AGCCGAUCGUGUAAUACUUUUGAAAGAUUCAGUAAUCUAAUCAAUCGAAUUUCAACGUAAUUUUGUAAUCUUGAUUUUUUUGACAACAAUAACUUUUAAUAUUAGAGUUAGAAAGGGUUAUGUAAUGGUUAUAUUGAAAUAGAACACGUUAAAGUUAAAAAGAUUUGCCUCCUGGAUCAGAGCCUGUCGCGCUUAGGUGCGGUUUACCUUGGUUCACGUAGUUUGUAGGCUAUUGCGUGAGCUCGUGGGUUUACCCAGUGCGCACCCGAAGGGUAGCGGCUGCGGGUUCCUACUUUAAAAAAAAAAAAAAGUUAAAAAGAUUU